AGGAUCAACUAUGAGGGCGAGAUCACUACCGCCUACGGCGCUGACAUGCAGUCGUAUGCCGCG
rnacentral:ribozyme from 1 species